CUGUCAAGUACUGUACUGAUCUCCUACGUUUUGUACUAUAGUGAGAUUCUGGCUAUUUUAUAAUUCUCUGAUCCUCAUUGAAUUUGAUAUGGAAAUAACAUCAGGAUGCGAAUUGGAAUCUCUGAGUAAUAGUACUGACCAUAGCGGGCUUGUACUCUUAGGAAUGUAACUGUGAAACCAUUGAAAAAUAUUUCUGCGUGCCAAAUGAUCUCGUGAUCUUCUACAACUCCUGAUGAAUGAACCAAUUGCUUUUUUUGGCAUUGCGGUGCUGGAUAGUAACACUAAAGCUCACUCGGGUAGUGAAGUCGAUGAUCAUCAAUACCUGUGAAUGACUAACAGGCUACUGACAUCACAUUCUUAAAUGACAAUAGUGAUUCAAAACAAUCCAAUGCAGAUGAAUGCAUCAAGUGCAUCCUCCUGAUAUUCUUUAAUGAUGGACCUUUUUCAACCUAAAGAAAUAUUAGCGCGUCGUGAAACAUUAGAGAAAAAGCCAAAGGAUGAUGUUCCCAAGAAUGUCAAAAAGAGGAUCCUUUGAUGCUGGGAAGAACAAAUAUUGAUCUUGGAUCAGCCAAGAAAAAGAAAUAAUUCUCCAGACUCUGUUCCCAUAAAUUAAACAUGUCUUAACCAACGUUUCCUCGGUUGAAGACCCGGCACGAUUUACAUUAGAACCAAAAAUGACAAGGAAAUCAAGAAGGAACAUAAGGAAGGUACUGGAGCCGAUCAUAGAAAUAUUUCAAGAGUCAAGAAUCAGUAAUCGAGACUCAAGACUGAAGACUUAC